AGUGAUUCAACCGCGCCACCGAGCGCGGAGCUGCCCUGGAGGACGCAGGCGGGUCUAGUUGCCCGGGUCCCCCAAGGCCCCCGGAUUCACCCAGGCCCGCGACUCCGACGUGCAGCUUAGGUGGGUUGCAGGUCUAUGGCAGGAAAGGGAGGGCGCCUUGGAAGAAUUCUUCCCUUCCAUUUGGUGAUAAAGUGGGAGAGGCGGCAUUUACAACAUUUAAUAGAAAGCACGGGCUCUGGGCUCCCCUCGGGCAGCGGAGGGCAUUUCCCGGAUGCUUUGCCCACCUGGGGCAGAAGCUCGGGACCUGCAGCGAAGUAAACGUGUGGCUGUGAGCAGGGCCCUCUCCCAGCCACGGUGGCUUCUUCUACCCCACGAAGGUCAAGAAUACCUGGCCUGCCCACCUCGCGGGGCCCUUAGCGGGUCGCACAGGAGAAAGGCGGUGGGAAUGCCGGUGUCAGCCACGGUGUGACCGGCUCGGCUCACAGGUCUGAGGGUCAGUUGGCUCAGGCAUCGCCCGGUACGACCAGAGAUAGUGACUGAGGAAGAGCAGCCUCACAUCUGGCAGUUUGCCUCUGGGAGAAUUCCAGCGUGACAUCUGCAGCUCUGUGGUUCCAGAAAGGAUGGUUCCCACAUUGAAGAAGACAUCUGUGGGACUGAGUUCCACCGAAAUGCAGAGGAACCAAAAAUGAAAAUGAAAAAUGUAACCAGAGUUGUGUGCCACUAGUUUUAAGCUUUGGUUUUUCUAAAUUAUUUUCUGGCUUCUCCUUCUGGGCUUUGCUGUAAACUUGCCAAGCAUGAGAACAACUCUUCAUCUAUUGAGUGGCAUUUUAAGCCAUCCUGUCAAAGUAUCUCCUGUCAUUUUUAUUAUUAUUACUCUAUAUUGCCUGCAAGACACGACUGGAGAAUUCUUAGUGUAAGAAUUGUUUGUUUCCUCUCUCCUUCUUUCCCACGUUUUCCCAGGGAAGUCAGUCUUGCAUUUUAAUGCAUACUAUAUACAUAUCUCGUUUAGCUUACUGAACCACUUGUUUUAACAGAAUAAAACUGUGCAAAAUUUUAAUUUUCCUCCUUUGCCUGAACUGAAAUAGCACAUCCAGGUUUAGCCCUUGUAGACUUUCCUUCCUCGAAGCAGAAAGUUGCCCUUGAUGAUUUCCUCUUUGAGCUCUCUGCCAGCUCUGAAACCCACAAAAUUUAUGUUUGCAAAACUAAGCCAUGCAAUCCUCUUUUUAUGCAGGCUCUAGCCUGAGUCAUUUUCCCUAAGAGAUCUUCAGCUCCACCUGGGAUGUGAUUCUUUGCUCUCUGGGAUUGAAGGUAGCUGAAGAGAAAUAGUUACACUUCAGGUUUGUUACAAGACCCAAGAAAUUGUUGCAAUUCCACUUGGAGUCACUGACUUUUCUGAAAUCAUAUAGGGCUUUAAACAAUGUCAAGAUCAGCCAUUUGAUAAGAAAAAUGUUUACCAUUGGAUUGUGAUACACAAUGUGCCUUAAAUAUUGAUAAAUUAGAUGAAUAUUUAUUUUGUAUAUCCAUUAAAAUAGACAGGAAAGAGAAGAUGUUGGGUGUUUGCACAGGCUUUUUAGUCAGUACGGAAUGACAUUCUUCAAGAUUUAAAAAUGCUAAAAUCAUUACUAUUUUCAAGAAGAGGGAGGAAGAAAACGUGGUAAAUAAUAUUUCAUUGCGAAGUGUUUUUCCCUGACUGAUCUAAUUGUGGCCAGAUCUACUUUUUGACGGUGCGAAGUGUACUUUUUAAUGGUGCCAAACAGCAGUUGAUCUAUAAUAACUGCUGCUUGGCACCAUUAAAAAGUACAUAUCUAAAAUUUCACUGUUGAAAUUUGUUCACAAGAACAAAUUGACUGUUAAAAUUAUUCCCUAACCUUAACACAAUUUUUUUUACUCCUGUCAGUAAAGUCAAGCUUAGCAGUUAACAGUUCCCUCCUCCAUGAUCUAUCUUGGAGGCUCUGAGAAGUUCAAAAAGUUACUAAACUAUAACAAUAAUCUCUCUGGCUUGACCAGUCCCUUUCUCAUUGGAUUUUAGGAUGUCAGAGGAUGGGAGAACCUCACAGACAUUCUUUUAUGGAUGAGAACCCUGUGGCCAGCUGAUCUGAGUAAACUGGCUUGCCUAACCACACAGUGCAGAUCUGGUCUUCUGACCCCGGGGGCUUUCCUUCCAUCACCAGGCUUUCUCCUACUCCCAAUGAAGGAAAGUAAGACUGGGUGGUAAAUCCAUCAAAUGAAUGAUUAAUUAAUCCAUCCAUAAGCACUCAAAAAUGUUCUGCAUGUACACAAAGUGCAGAAAAGUGCAAAACUGCACAAAAACUGCACACAAAGUAUAGAAAAUACUUUGCAGUUUGGGGAACUCAUUGUUCUUAGGCAGAAAUAUCCUGAUGGUUAGUCCUUGAAAUAGACAGACAAGGAGACACGUAGAAGAGUUUGAAUUCCCUUUGCAUAACCAGUGAUGAAAUGUGGUUGAUGAGAAGUCUGAAAAUAACUGCGGAGAUGUUUCAGCCCUUCCACUGUACUUUUAUAGUACUUGCUGCCAAUUUUACCGACUCAUUUUCAUUGAGAACUUCACUUAAUCUCACUUGUGUGUUUACCUGUUAAUCUUUCCUGUUGGAUUGGGUUUUUUGUCUGUUUUUUUCCUCUCUCAACCCUUUCCACAAUUAUCAGCACAUAAUAGGCACUUAAUACCUUUUGAGUCAAUGAAUACUUUAUAAAACUAUGAGUGCAACCAAAUAUUUCACUGGUGUUCAAGAGAUGAAAUCUGUCACUGAAAACUCUUUCUAGGGGCCAGGCAGUGAGUGUUUCAUGAUGCUGAGAUUGGUAAGAAAAUACAAAUCCAUCAUGACUGGAAAGGCACCACUCGACCGCAAGUUCUAGCAGUCUAACCAGUGAUUAGCUAUCUCUGCACCACCAGAAAAUCUCACCAGGAGGAGAGAUAGCUGAGAAGCAGAAACCAGAUACAGAAGUUUGGAAACUAGCUAGCAUUUUUUUAAAAGACUGGAUUCUACGAUGAUUCAGAAUAUACUUCAUCAUGCGAUGAGGUUGUUGAUAGUUUUCCUUGCAUACAGAGGCUGAAUAACUUUUUAAAACAAAUUCCUCAAAAUGUUUAUUUCCCAGGAAAGAGAUAGGUUAAGAUACAUGAUAGCAAGUAAAAUUGAGAAUAAUUCAGAGAAACUUAUUUUAUGCAUAUGAAAUGGUAAAAAGAGCAAUGAAACCAUUACCCAAAAUUCAGGUAAAAGGCAAAGUAUGAGAAAAGGCCAGAGGGAAUUAGGAGUUAGUAGGAACACAGAGUUCUGGAGGAAAAGGAAAAAAGUGACUCAGCAGAACCUAAGAAACAUCUGGCUGGGUAUAGUUAGUCAUGGAAAAAUUGGCAGUCAUGAUUAUGCAUUUUGUGAAAAUAGCAAUAUACUAGUCCAACAGUUCAUUUAGACCAAAAUUAAACAGUUGAAAGUCAGUAUGAUAAAAUCUAUUAUCCUGGUCAUUCAAAAUACUUCUAUCAACUGUCUAGAACAGCUUACAAGAAGCUUUGCUAAAUGAGUUAUCACAUAGCACCAGUAUUCUGAAAAAUGUAACUUUAGAGAAAAACCUUCCAAUUCAAGUCUUAGACUGGGAUUGGUAUUUUCAGCAGACAUCUAUUUUUAUAAACGUAAAGCUUAUCAAACUACCUUUCAACUUUCAUUUUGAUGAACAGUAAAUAUUAUUUUAUUAUCUACAUACAAUGGUGACAAAAUAGAUAAAUAAUAAAUAUGAAUUGUGGGUAUUAUUUUAGUAACAAAAAGUCAUUUAAAAUGAAAACCCUUAACCUAUGUUCUUAUUAAUAUAAUAUUUAUGUGAUUUAAAAUUUUGUAUAUGGUAUCAUUUACUUAAGCAUCUCUUAAUUCCUCAUUUCUGUAACUCUUUAUACCUGACAUAUGUACUAAAUUUGAUGAACAGAAAUUCAUUCAUUCAACAAAUGCUUGAAUGUCCACCAGAUACUGGGUUCUUUGCUAGACUCUGGAUGUACAGAGUAAAACAAAGAAGUCCCUUUCCUGUUAAACAUAUCAUCAUUCCUACUUAUGUCCAGAUUUUAUGUUUGUUUGUUUGUUUUUUGAGACAGAGUUUCGCUCUUGUUGCCCCAGGCUGGAGUGCAAUGGCACAAUCUCGGCUCACUGCAACUCCACCUCCCAGGUUCAAAGCAAUUCUCCUGCCUCAGCCUCCUGAGUAACUGGGAUUACAGGCAUGUGCCACCAUGCCCAGCUAAUUUUGUAUUUUUAGUACAUACAGGUUUAUCUAUGUUGGUCAGGCUGGUCUCAAACUCCCGACCUCAGGUGAUCCGCCUGCCUCUGCCCCCCAAAGUGCCGGGAUUACAGGUGUGAACCACCAUGCCCGGCAGAUUUUAUGGUUUGAAUGAUUUUCUGUCAGCAUUUGAAUUGGAUAUAAAACAAUCUUAACAGUGUUGUUUAUUUACAAAUUUCAUUCUGUCCUCCCCCCAAAAAGAUUUAGGUGUGUCAUGAUCAGUUCAUCAAAUAGGUAUCUUUAACUCAGAAAAUGACUUACAGGUUUAAAAUAUACAUUCUCUAUCAGUUUGAACGUAUUGAUGAACUCUCAAAGUUUUGAAUAUGGAAAAAAUAUAUGAAGCUCAACAAGAAAGACAGCUUUAUAAAAAGGCAAGUCUAGCAGAAAAGAUAACCAAGUAGGAGGAGAUUCCUCACGUAAGGAAAAAAACAAGUAAAAUAAUCAGCUUAAAAGCAUGUGUGCAAGAUAUUUCAUUGUUAUUUUUAUGUUUGUUUGUUGACAUUUUAUAGCCUAGUUAACAGAUGCUCCAAAUUUUGAGCCUGUAACCCUUCCAAUCCCUUGCUGCCUUUGAUGGUGAUGCUCCAUCCUAUUAUACCAACUCCACAUUGAAGCAGAACUCUCAAGACAGAGAUGGGGAGGGAUGGAUGGGCUGUGAGGCCCCCCAGCCAAGAAGCUGGAAGAACUUUCUCGAAUCCUGCAGAGCUGCUCAGGGGCCUGCCUUGUAUCUGCCUGGCUGUUCCAGGGAGGUUGGAAGACAAACUGAAGGCUUUCCAUUGCUGAACAUCAGACCUCAGAAGUACUGACUGGAGGGCUCCCAAGCUGGCUCAGAUCAGCCUCAUAUUGCCCCGAACAGUAUCAUCACCGCUUUGCCCUGGUGGGGAAACUACUCUUUACCCUCUGUAUGAACCUAUGAAGCACGCAGGUCACUGGGGCAAUUUCUGAGUUUGAAGUUGCUUGGAUUUGCCAUUGCUGCUAUGUUGAAGGGAAGGGAGUGCUUUUGAAGAAAAUGUUCAUCUCUAGUUCCAGUAACAGGCAUGGAAUUGACACAUAACAGGUGUUUGUUGAAUUGAGCUGAAUAAAUUAGAAUCUGGGGCAAAA